GACGUAGGGCGCGAGCGUUGUCCGGAUUUAUUGGGCGUAAAGAGCUCGUAGGCGGUUUGUCGCGUCGUUCGUGAAAACUCACAGCUUAACUGUGAGCUUGCGGUCGAUACGGGCAGGCUAGAGUCGGUAGGGGAGACUGGAAUUCCUGGUGUAGCGGUGAAAUGCGCAGAUAUCAGGAGGAACACCGGUGGCGAAGGCGGGUCUCUGGGCCGAUACUGACGCUGAGGAGCGAAAGCGUGGGGAGCGAACAGG
rnacentral:rRNA from 1 species